rnacentral:lncRNA from 10 species
AAAAACAAUAAAAAAGGUUCAAGGAAAUUUACUACAUCUUUGAAAUAUUGAAAUUGUUUUAAGUGUCAUGGUUUAUUUGGCUAGAAUACACAUAGGCAUAGACAGAUAAACUUAACCAUUUACUUCUGGUUUCAAAGUUCUGGCUUAAAAACUGGGAUACCUCACAGACUCAGGAGGGAUGAUGGAAAAGCUAUCCCCAGGUGAACAUAGAAAACCUGUAUUCCAGUCCCAGCUCUUCAUGUAGUAACCUGUGUGAACACCAAAACGUCUCAAAUUACAAAGAACACAGAGGUCACCUACUCCAACUUGCUUACUCUAAAAUAAACUAGCUCAGACAGGCUGUGAAUUGUCCAAGGCACACACUCAUUGUUGGUGGAAUUAAGAUUUGGGUUGAGUGUUUUCUCCAUUAGAAAAGUCACAAGUCAUUUGGAAACAAAUGAACAAACAAAAAUAAUGGUGUUUGGUUACUGCUAGUUGUUUCUACAAGGCUUGAAUUCAGACAUUCAAAUGCAGUAGCCCACAUUGCCUCUUCAAGAGUAAGCUGAGGGAUUACCUGUCUCGUGGGAAGCAGGGGAAAGACCACUGACUUCGAAGUCAAUCAGGUCUUGCUGUGAAUUCCAGCUGUGUGCUCUGUGAUCUUGGGCCCAGGUUUACUUACCUGGACAACAGAAAAUUUAUAUAAACUGCAACCUCAAUACUUUGAAGACAGUAGCACGAGGAAUGAAUUAGUGCUGAAGACAGCAUCG